rnacentral:rRNA from 1 species
AUGAACGCUGGCGGCGUGCUUAACACAUGCAAGUCGAACGAGAAGUGGAGACGGAAACCUUCGGGCGGAAGACUUUAUUUCGAGUGGCGGACGGGUGAGUAACGCGUGGGUAACCUGCCUCAUACAGGGGGAUAACAGUUGGAAACGACUGUUAAUACCGCAUAAGACCACAGCACCGCAUGGUGCGGGGGUAAAAACUCCGGUGGUAUGAGAUGGACCCGCGUUCGAUUAGCCAGUUGGCGGGGUAACGGCCCACCAAAGCGACGAUCGAUAGCCGAUCUGAGAGGAUGACCGGCCACAUUGGGACUGAGACACGGCCCAAACUCCUACGGGAGGCAGCAGUGGGGAAUAUUGCACAAUGGGGGAAACCCUGAUGCAGCGACGCCGCGUGAGUGAAGAAGUAUUUCGGUAUGUAAAGCUCUAUCAGCAGGGAAGAAAAUGACGGUACCUGAGUAAGAAGCCCCGGCUAACUACGU